rnacentral:misc_RNA from 1 species
GGAGUCUUCUCAUUAUUAAAAACAUUAGCCUCACAACUUAUGCCAACAUCCCAUAAUUAGCUUACUAGAAAUCCAUAACUAAAUAAUUAAAACUUCAACAAACUACACCCAACAAGCUACGAACUGGCAGAUGACUCCCCAAACUGCUUCUCCAUCUCCUUCAAUUCACCUUGUUGCAGUCGGUGGACGGGCUGAUCUUGUAAGGGAUUGGGACGCCGCACUGGCGAGGAAUAGAAGCAGCAGCAGCGACCAUUGGUCCAGUUGCGCUGCCGGCCACCUGCUUCAAGCAGCCACAGGUCGUACGGCGAUCUAAAGUAGUCUUGGCCGCGCCUAGAAGGCUACUAACUCCGCUACAGCAAUUGGGAGGCACGGUACCUCCGCUUGUGAUAUAUGAAAGACAUGGCUGUAGGGCAUUGUACACCUGAUUACACGUGAUUGCACCCUCAGUUUCCUGCCCCGCCAUCAUCAACACCGCCAUCAGUAGCGCCACCACCUUGCCGGACAUGAGUGUAACUUGAGAUCUCUCUUUUUU